AGAGUUUGAUCAUGGCUCAGGAUGAACGCUAGCGGCAGGCUUAACACAUGCAAGUCGAGGGGCAGCACGGGUAGCAAUACCUGGUGGCGACCGGCGCAAGGGUGCGUAACGCGUGAGCAACAUGCCCUAUACAGGGGGAUAAUCCAGGGAAACUUGGUCUAAUAUCCCAUAGUAUUUAGAGGAGGCAUCUUCUAUAAAUUAAAGCUUCGGUGGUAUAGGAUUGGCUCGCGUGACAUUAGCUAGAUGGUGAGGUAACGGCUCACCAUGGCAAUGAUGUCUAGGGGUUCUGAGAGGAAGGCCCCCCACACUGGGACUGAGACACGGCCCAGACUCCUACGGGAGGCAGCAGUGAGGAAUAUUGGACAAUGGAUGGAAAUCUGAUCCAGCCAUGCCGCGUGCAGGAAGACAGCCCUAUGGGUUGUAAACUGCUUUUAUAUGGGAGCAAUAAGGUCUACGUGUAGACUGAUGAGAGUACCAUAUGAAUAAGCAUCGGCUAACUCCGUGCCAGCAGCCGCGGUAAUACGGAGGAUGCGAGCGUUAUCCGGAUUUAUUGGGUUUAAAGGGUGCGUAGGCGGCCGAGUAAGUCAGCGGUGAAAUUUUGCAGCUU
rnacentral:rRNA from 1 species